rnacentral:lncRNA from 1 species
UCAUCUUAAAUGGUGUCUACCUUAUAUCUACACUAAACUUAUUAAUUUUUAUAACUCAGCCUCAUACCUUUUUAGCCUGUCGUUUUAACAUUGCAAUCAAAUAAAAAACCUUUUUUAUUUCUUCACCUAUGUUUGCAUUUCCAAUUUAAAAUAGAUAACUAAACCUUGUUUUAUGUUUAAAAUUUAAAUUUCUAUUUGAUAAGCAAUAUAUAUUCAUUAUAGAAAAUUAUACAAUGUAAGAAAAAUGAAAAAGAAAAUAAAAAGUGCUAUCCAUGACCAUGUAAUUUUGCUAAUUCAGCUUUCCCAAUGGUGCCCUGUAUUCCUUGCAAUCAAAAAUAGAUUCUUGACUAUGAAGCUACUGUUGCUCCAAUCAGUAUUACUUUAAUCUUACCAUUUUCUUUUUCUCAGUGUAUGCUCUCUGUGUUUGUCAGAGAGGUUUUCCUGCAUUCCAAAAGACUUUGAAGCUGGUUUAAUUCAAGAAUUUGUGUGUAUGCAUACAAUUAUGAUUAAUGUAGCUUCAGAUGAGAUCCUACUAGGUUUGGCAAUAAAUUAAACCCAUCUACUGUUCUUUUCAGGUAGUAUCCAGGGGACAGUUGGUGGCUGUAGGAAAACAAAAUUCAACAAUGUUCUCUUUAACACCAGAAAAUUCUUGGACUCCAAAAGCCUGUGUAAUUGUGUAUUAUAUUGAAGAUGAUGGGGAAAUUAUAAGUGAUGUUCUAAAAAUUCCUGUUCAGCUUGUUUUUAAAAAUAAGAUAAAGCUAUAUUGGAGUAAAGUGAAAGCUGAACCAUCUGAGAAAGUCUCUCUUAGGAUCUCUGUGACACAGCCUGACUCCAUAGUUGGGAUUGUAGCUGUUGACAAAAGUGUGAAUCUGAUGAAUGCCUCUAAUGAUAUUACAAUGGAAAAUGUGAGUUUAGCUAUUUUUUCAUUAUGAAAAUAUGUAUUACAAGAGAAAGAGGAAACUUUAUUGUACUACUUUAAAUAUUUAAAGAAAAUUUCAUUAGUUCCUUUGCAUGUGUAAGUCAAUAAUUAGUAAAGCUUCCAAAUAAAAAGUAAUCUGUAUCGUAAUGGUUAUGUUGGAAAGAAGCUUAUGUGGUUAAGUGUCCUUGCUCUCUUUCAUCAGAAUUAUCACCUAAAGUUAGAUGGGAGGAAUAAAUUCUGGAGGUCUGUGGUACAACAUGGUGACUGUAGUUAAUGAUAAUGUACCAUAUACUUGAAAAUUGCUAAAAGAGUAGAUUUGAAAUGUUCUCACCACAAAAAAUGAUCAGUAUGUAGUAUGCAAGGUGAUAGAUAUGUUAAUUAGCUUAAUCAUUCCACAGUAUAUACAAAUAUCAAUAUAUCACAUUGUACUCCAUAAAUAUAUACAAUAAAAAAUGCCACCUAUAGUUUUCCUUCAUUUUCAUACUACAUUUUAAGACACUCAAGAAAGUACUAGGAAAUUGACUUGCAUUAUUCUGGGUUACGUUGGAUAAGAGAGCUUUAGAUAAUUUUUGAAGUGUGUUCUAUUUUGGUUAUACGUAAUGGUUAUAAAUAAUUACAGCACCCAUUGUGCCGGGCAUGGUGGCUCAUGCCUGUAAUCUCAGCACUUUGGGAGGCCGAGGUGGGUGGAUCACGAGGUCAGGAGAUCGAGACCAUCUUGGCUAACAUGGUGAAACCCCAUCUCUACUAAAAAUACAAAAAAUUAGCCGGGCGCGGUGGCGGGCGCCUGUAGUCCCAGCUACUCGGGAGGCUGAGGCAGGAGAAUGGCAUGAAUCCCAGGAGGCGGAGCUUGCAGCGAGCAGAAAUCGUGCCACUGCACUCCAGCCUGGGUGACAGAGCAAGACUCUGUCUC